UGUCAGGANCGUACCGUAUUGUGGGGGAUAACUANUCNAAAGAUUANCUAAUACCGCAUACGCCCUGAGGGGGAAAGUAGGGGAUCUUCGGACCUUACGCAGAACGAGCGGCCGAUAUCUGAUUAGCUAGUUGGUGGGGUAAAGGCCCACCAAGGCGACGAUCAGUAGCUGGUCUGAGAGGACGACCAGCCACACUGGAACUGAGACACGGUCCAGACUCCUACGGGAGGCAGCAGUGGGGAAUUUUGGACAAUGGGCGCAAGCCUGAUCCAGCCAUGCCGCGUGAGUGAAGAAGGCCUUCGGGUUGUAAAGCUCUUUCGCAAGGAAAGAAAACUUAUUCGCUAAUACCGAGUGAGGAUGACGGUACCUUGAUAAGAAGCACCGGCUAACUACGUGCCAGCAGCCGCGGUAAUACGUAGGGUGCGAGCGUUAAUCGGAAUUACUGGGCGUAAAGCGAGCGCAGGCGGUUUUGUAAGUCAGAUGUGAAAGCCCCGGGCUCAACCUGGGAACUGCGUUUGAAACUGCAAGGCUAGAGUAUGGGAGAGGGGGGUAGAAUUCCACGUGUAGCAGUGAAAUGCGUAGAGAUGUGGAGGAAUACCAAUGGCGAAGGCAGCCCCCUGGCCUAAUACUGACGCUCAUGCUCGAAAGCGUGGGGAGCAAACAGGAUUAGAUACCCUGGUAGUCCACGCCCUAAACGAUGUCUACUAGUUGUUGGUGGAGUAAAAUCCAUUAGUAACGCAGCUAACGCGUGAAGUAGACCGCCUGGGGAGUACGGUCGCAAGAUUAAAACUCAAAGGAAUUGACGGGGCCC
rnacentral:rRNA from 1 species